rnacentral:rRNA from 1 species
UAAUAAUGCCAUCAAGGCCUCUUCCAAAUUGCACGCACAUUCCAACUUCAUAUUGUUCUUUGCAGUACUCUCACCACACAAACACUGAUAACUAGCCGGAGGAGGAGAUGGAGGCAGCUAUUGAAACGGCGAGUUGGCUUCUCAGCAAGGCGCUCGCAAAGCUCUCGGACGAGCUGGUGGCCGCGUUCGUUGCCACCAGCUCCGAGCUCGGCCACAACUUCCAGAGCAUGAAGCACUGGCUGUGGCACACGCAAGGGCUGCUACACGCAGCCCGGAUCAGGGACAUGAGCAACAACCCUGGUCCUGGCCUGCAGGGCUUGCUCGCGGAGCUAAGCAAGAAGGCAGAUGAGGCCGAGGACUUGCUGGAUGAAAUCUGCUACUUCAUGAUCCAGGAUCAACUCGACCACACCAGCGAGGCCACCAUCCAGGACCCCGCCCCAAAUAUAGGCGAUCUCGUCCGUGGUCGUGCUCGUGAUGCUCACCAUGCUCUUCGCCACACCAUCGGUAACUGGCUUCCAUACUUUUCAAAUCCGGGUUCUGUCAACAGUAGUAGUAACACGUCCCGCAAAAAACAAAAAACAAAUAGUAGUAGUAACCCACAUCAUGCAACCAACUCUGGUGGCACUGAUGAUGCUUGCCCCAUCGACAGGCUAUCUUUCGACAGAGUAGACAUGUCCAACAGAAUCAAGUCCAUAAUUGAGGAAAUGAACUCUACAUGUGAACAUGUCUCCGACUUACUCAAAAUUGCAAACCAAAGUAGCACUGCAAUAACCACAACCCUCACCCUCAAAAGGCCAACCACGGGUUCAACAGUGGUGCAAGAUAAGUUGUUUGGGAGGGGUGACAUUUUUGAUAAAACUGUAACUGCUCUUACCGGUGGCACAUAUCACACUGAAACCCUCUCUAUUUUGCCUCUUGUUGGCCCUGGGGGUAUAGGAAAGACAACCUUCACCCAACACUUGUACAGUGAUGAAAAGAUCAUGAGGCACUUCACUGUCAAGGUAUGGGUAUGUGUCUCAACUGAUUUUGAUGUGCUUAACCUCACCCGGCAGAUCCUUAGAUGUGUACCUACAACAGAAAAAGAAGGAAACAAAAUUGUAAUCGAGACUGCCAAUUUAGACCAGCUUCAAAUAUCCAUUGCAGAGAGACUGAAGUCCACCAGGUUUUUAAUUGUCUUGGAUGAUAUUUGGAAAUGCAGCAGCGAAGGUGACUGGAAAAACCUAUUAGCUCCAUUCACUAAGGGGGAAACCAAGGGUAGCAUGAUUCUUGUCACAACCCGGUUUCCAUUAGUAGCACAUAUGGUGAAAACAACUGAUCCAAUAGAACUGCAUGGUUUGGAGCCUAAUGACUUCUUCACACUCUUUGAGUUUUCUAUAUUUGGUCAUAGCAAACCCCGGGAUUAUGAAGAUGACUUAAUUGGUGUUGCAAAAGAUAUUGCAAAAAGACUAAAGGGUUCACCACUAGCAGCCAAUACAAUCGGUCGGUUAUUGAGGAAAAACCUUUCUAAAGGAUAUUGGAAGGGAGUUCUUGAAAAAGAUGAGUGGCAACACAUGAAAAAUGAUGAUGAUAUUAUGCCAUCUCUUAAAAUUAGCUAUGAUUACCUUCCUUUCUAUCUAAAAAAAUGCUUUUCAUACCUUGCCCUCUUCCCUGAAGAUUAUAAGUUUUAUGAUAUAGAAAUUACUCGUUUUUGGAUUGCAGUAGGUAUCAUAAACUCUAGUUGCCAAAACGAUAAAAAUUACUUAGAAGAGCUAGUGGAUAAUGGUUUUCUCAUGAAGGGGUUUGAUGGGUUUGGUGAUCAAUGUUAUGUGAUGCAUGAUUUAUUCCAUGAACUGUCUCGGAAUGUUUCAUCACAAGAAUGUGUCAAUAUAAGUAGUUUAUGUUUUAGUGCCGAUAGCAUCCCAAAAUCUAUUCGGCACUUAUCAAUCACCAUAGAAGAUAUAUAUGGUGAAAGUUUUGAAGAAGAAAUGGGUAUACUAAAGAGAAGGGUAGACAUUGGAAAUUUGCGGACUUUGAUGAUUUUUGGGUUACAUAAUGCACGAGUAGAUAAUAUUUUCAAAAGUACAUUUGAAGAAAUAAAGAGUCUGAGAGUUCUGUUUAUAGGAAUGAACACUCCACAAUCUUUGCCAAAUGGAUUUUCCAAUCUUAUCCACCUCCAAUACCUUAAAAUUAGAUCACCUUAUAUAGAAGAAAUGACUUUACCUAGCUCAUUAUCUAGAUUUUACCACUUGAAAUUUUUGGACCUCGUAUAUUGGCAUGGAAGUAAAAAAUUGCCUAAAGACAUUAACCGCCUGGUGAAUCUACAACAUUUCCACUCAUCCAGAGAACUCCAUUCCAAUAUUCCUGAGGUUGGAAAGAUGAAGUGUUUACAGGAGCUAAAAGAAUUCUAUGUAAAGAAAGGGAGUGUUGGGUUUGAAUUGAGAGAGCUGGGGGAAUUGAGAGAGCUUGGAGGAAAACUCCGUAUAUGUAAUCUUGGAAUGAUUGCAUCCAAGGGAGAAGCUAGUGUUGCCAAACUGAAGAACAAAAGAAAUAUGAAAAAGUUGCGAUUAAUCUGGGGUCCACAACACCAGACUAUACAUGAUGAUGUUCUUGAUGGUCUUGAACCACACCCUAAUCUUUUGGUGCUUCAUAUAAUAAAUCCGGGUGUCGCCCCUUGUCCUAGCUGGCUGUGCGGCGAUAUUAGCACAAAAAGGUUAGAGUCUCUCCAUCUGGAGAAUGUAUCUUGGAGUACACUUCCACCUUUUGAGCAGCUACCACACCUCACCAAGCUCACUUUGAAGAAUAUAGCUAGCAUGCAUUCUUUUGGGCCUGGCAAUAAUGGUGUUACAGAGACAAGUUUCAUGCACCUGAAGACAAUUGUGUUUGAGGAUAUGCCAGUACUCGUGGAGUGGGUUGGCGAACCUAAUAGCCAUUUGUAUUCCAGGCUUGAAAGAAUCAAAUGUGCAGGUUGUCCCCUUCUCCGCUCAUUUCCGUUCUUGGAGUACUCAAGUCGGUUUACAAACCUGUGUGAACUUGUUAUUCAUAACUGCCCUGAGCUGUCCCAGUUUCCCUCCAUGCCUCACACCUCCACACUAACAUCUCUGAGUGUGAGGAAUGCUACCUCAAAGUUGUCAUACAAUGGAAAGGAAUUCACUAUCGGAGGGUAUAAUCAUGAUUUGUCCUUUGACAAUAUGGAUAAAGUAGAGGUUAUGGAAAUUAGGGAUGUAUCAGGCAUUUCGUUGUCAGACAUCCAACGCCUAAACUCCUUGAGAAGUCUGAGUGUUGAAAGAUGUGAAAACAUUUUCUCUGCGCAACUGGAUGACAAUGUCGCCCUCCAUUCAGUUCAGAGUCUUGAGCUAGAAGAAUUAAGUAUUACAGGAGAAGAGUUUUCAAAAGCCUUGAGGUCUUUUCCAGCUAUUUCCCAGCUUAGUAUCAACAAGUGCAAGAGCCUGGUUCUUCUGCCCUUGGAGGAUGGAGGAGGACUGUGGGACCUGGUGAUGCUCCAAUCGUUUUCUGCAUCAUACUGUCACAAGUUGUUCUGUCGGUGGCCCAUGGGAGAAGUAGGAGGAGCUCAGACCAUCAAGCCUUUUCCUCCUUCCCUCAGGAAACUGAAGAUUGUCGAAGAAUCAAGCAUAAAGUCAAUGGCCCUACUCUCAAACCUCACUUCUCUCACCUAUCUAGAGCUGGUAGAUUGUGAAGAAUUAACUAUGGAUGGGUUUAAUCCUCACAUCACAACCAACCUCAAGGAUUUGUCUAUCUAUGACAAACAAAGGAUCUCUGUAGGAGCGGAUGUGCUGUCAGAGGUGGCAAGGGAUGGACUGAUGCAUGCUGGUUCAUUCGAACUGGAAAAGCUUGCGGUGAACAGCAUCUCGGCGCUGCUUGGUUCUCCAGUUUGCAGCCACCUUGCCGCUACUCUCCACACAUUACAGUUUCGAUAUGAUCGGUGGGUAGAAACCUUCACGGAAGAGCAGGAGCAAGCCCUUCAGCUCCUCACCUCGCUCCAAGAUCUACAGUUUAGUGCUUGCAGUAGUUUGCAGUCCCUACCACAACAAUUGCGUGGCCUUUCUUCUCUCAGAACAUUAGUGAUCUUUGGGUGUGAAAAAAUCAGAUCGCUGCCGCCCAAGGAGAGCCUCAACGCUUCACUAAGUACAAUAAUCGUGGCAGAUUGCAGUCCCGAGUUAACUGAGAAUGCCAAGAAUUUGAAAAAAUCAGACACAUAUUCAGCAAAAAUAAUUGUGUGCCCAUGAGAUGGGCGUCCUUCCAUUACCAUAUAAGUGACUGCAUGAUGAUCCAAAAAUCAUGACUAAGCAACUGAAAGUAAUGAUAGAGUCUACUCACUGGGCCUAAGAGAGCAUCUAUCAUCGUGGGUUGCUCUACUUUCUCCAUUUUCUGACCUCGAUUAUUUCACUCACCUUCUGCACACAAUUGCAACCGAUGCUCAAUUCAUAUAGUUAGUAGCUUCGCAUCCAGAACAAUUGCAACCAAUGGUGUAUUCUUAAGGAGCAUCACUGACAAGCUACAAUUCCCAAAGGUUUUCCUCUCAAUUUACCAAGCAAAGACCUGAAAAAAUAUCAUGAUAUUGUAUUCUGCGGACGAUAGGUGGCACAAUCUGCGCCAUCUCUUAUUUGUGAAGUAUGUAUGGAACAACUGCACUGACACUUCUGUCAGAAGGUUCACCAUGAAGAAAAUUCAGUUGGGAAGGAGGAACAAUGCGCUUACUGUGGCCUGCUUCUUCCUAUGUGGCAAACCAGGCAUCCCUCCCAUUCCACGCUAAGCUCCAUGAAUAGUCGCAACCAGCGGUGACCUCUGAGCUCGCGGUUGGCAAUUUUGUAUUCAUGACAUGGCUCUUUCAUCAAAACACCUAUCUUAACUUCUUGAAGCAGCAACUCCGAAAAGGUGGCACAAUUUGUUCCUUCUUCACAUAUGCUAAGCAGCUGAUCGAUAAAGCAUGCGCGCUGGGAAUUCAUCCGGUUUGAUAGGAACCGAAACAAGCUCCCAAGGAGGAACAAUCAUCCAAACAUAUACUCCUCUGAAGCUUAAAUUGGUGGUGUCAUGCUGUGGGGAUUGGCAAGCCGUUGUAUGUGUACACAACAAAUCACCGACGCUGACGACGCGCACCAAGCAUGACAUCCCACUCCAUCCAUGACUGUGGUCAGCCUCUUCUGCACGCAGAACCAGGCGUGCUGCGCCUGCGCUACGCGGGGAUUGCGUGUGCUGUCACUUCCUCGAUCGAUGCUAACCUCAUCCUGUGCAUUUGGUGUGCCCGCCCGCUAGACUCAUGCUCUGGUACUCCCCUAUAGUCCCAGUUCAUAGAUUGACCUCGCCAGUGUCAACUCCUGCACGGCAUAUUUCCAUGUCACCGGCGUAAUUUGGGGUCGACACCGAGCUGCUACCAGUUCGGCCUAUCCACGUUGAAGCAAAUGAAGGAAAAUCUAUCCGAACUUGACUCUGCAAAUUCAAAUGGCACCAUAUUCAGUGUCUAAUGAUUCCGGGAUCGUUGCUGCGAAGCGGUACUGCAUCCUGAUGUCCACAGUGUCCUGCACCUCGGGUUUGCACAUCCACUCUGCUUACUCUGUCUCCUAGGCCAAGACAACCUCGCCAUCUUCGACCACGGCACCGCCUGGGCCCACAUCACCGGCGCAACUUGGGGCUGAGACCGAGGGGCUCAUCAUCCACGCCCUGAUGUUCUGCACCAUUAGCACCAUGUGUACAUGGAUACACCUGCAUGCAUCUGUUAGAUGAACUACAUCUCAGACAAGAACAGGGACUACCAUCUUCCUUGUGAAAGAGUACACGUUGAUUUGCCAUGUAGAUGAAUGUAUAGACCUAUGAAACACUAAGACAUAGUUUAGAUUCGUCGCCAAAAGAAGACACGGUUUAGAUUAUCGUGAUGACACUGAGACAUCAGUUAGCAUCUUAGCAUGUCUUGUUUCAACUGCCUGUUGUGCAUAUAUCGAGGCAUAAAUCAAUAUGUAUACUACUCCCUCCGUUCCUAAAUAUUUGUCUUUCUAGACAUUUCAACAAGUGACUACAUACGGAGCAAAAUGACUGAAUUUACACUCUAAAAUAUGUCUACAUACAUCCGCAUGUGGUAGUCAUUUGAAAUGUCUAGAAAGACAAAUAUUUAGGAACGGAGGGAGUAGUAAGUAUGCACGUGCAACAUACGUCUCGACUAAUAUUAUAACCAUAUAUGACAAUUGUAAAAAUAGUACCU